CCUACGGGAGGCAGCAGUGAGGAAUAUUGGUCAAUGGACGAGAGUCUGAACCAGCCAAGUAGCGUGAAGGAUGACUGCCCUAUGGGUUGUAAACUUCUUUUAUAUGGGAAUAAAAUGUUCCACGUGUGGGAUUUUGUAUGUACCAUAUGAAUAAGGAUCGGCUAACUCCGUGCCAGCAGCCGCGGUAAUACGGAGGAUCCGAGCGUUAUCCGGAUUUAUUGGGUUUAAAGGGAGCGUAGGUGGAUUUUUAAGUCAGUUGUGAAAGUUUGCGGCUUAACCGUUGAAUUGCAGUUGAUACUGGAAGUCUUGAGUACAGUAGAGGUAGGCGGAAUACGUGGUGUAGCGGUGAAAUGCUUAGAUAUCACGUAGAACUCCGAUAGCGAAGGCAGUUCACUGGACUGCAACUGACACUGAGGCUCGAGAGUGUGGGUAUCAAACAGGAUUAGAUACCCCCGUAGUC
rnacentral:rRNA from 1 species